UCCCCUUGACUUCUUCCAUGGAAGACACGACCUCUCUGGAGCAAGAAAAAGAAAAUAAAGAACAGGAGGAAGCAGAGAAGCCAUGGGAAAGAAAGAUACCAUCUUCUUCCCAAGAUUCUGAGCCUGCAUCAUCUGAUCCCUGGGAAGUGGAACAGGGGCGGGAAAUUGGACCUCCUCCCAAGAAUAGCCCUCCUAGAAGCCCCCAGUCUAAAGACAGCACAUAUCUGGAUGACCUCAGAACACCUGCGUCACCUUCCCAUUCCUCUCCUCGGGAACUUUCUUUUAUUCCUUCUGUCUUGGCUCUGGCAAAACAGAAUCUUGCUAUACCAUCUCCCUCAGACAGGACCACUAAUGAGAUUCCUGAAGCUGGGAAACUUCAUCCUGAUCUGCUGGAACAACCAUCUGAUAAGAAAGAACCAAUUCAACAUCACUCAAGCCAACCAGAGGGAAACACCUGUCAGUUGCCCCAGCAACCCAAACCUCUCCUGCAGAGAAUGAGGAAUGUGAGCCAUAAUGACAAACCAAAAGGGCAGAGAUUUGAUGUAUUUCAGGAGGAAGAUUCUAACAGUAAUUAUGGUCUAGAUCAGACUGAGCCAGGAGCCUCCGAAGCGGCCCCCAGCAUGCUGGAAACUGCCAUUCGGAAUGCAAAGGCUUACCUACUGAAGACGAGCAGCAGGUCCGGCUUCAAUGUAUAUGAUCAUCUUUCUAAUGUGCUGACCAAGAUAUUAGAUGAGCGUCCUGAAGAUGCUGUUGACAUCAUUGAAAACAUAAGCCAAGAUGUGAAAAUGGAACAUUUUAAUAAAAAAUUAGAUACACUCCAAAAUGAGAAUGAAAUGCUUCCAACAUAUGAAAUAGCAGAAAAACAAAAGGUUCUUUUUCUCCACGGACAUUUGGAAGGAGCUGACCAAGAACUAGAAGAGGAAAUAGUAGAAAACUCUCUUCCAAAUAUAAUGGAGUCAGCUUUUUAUUUUGAACAAGCUGGAAUUGGUUUGGGCACUGAUGAGACUUACCGCAUAUUUCUUGCUUUCAAGCAACUCACUGACACCCACCCAAUCCAAAGAUGCCGUUUCUGGGGGAAAAUCUUGGGUGUAGAAAUGAAUUAUAUUGUAGCUGAAGUGGAACUUCGUGAGGGGGAAGAUGAAGAGGAGGUGGAAGAGGAAGAUAUGGCUGAAGAGAGGGACAACGGAGAAAGCGAAACUGAUGAAGAUGAGGAGGACGAAUUACCAAAGUCUUUUUACAAGGCCCCACCAGUCAUACCAAAAGAAGAAAGUAGAACAGGAGCCAAUAAAUAUGUCUAUUUUGUUUGCAAUGAACCAGGAAGACCAUGGGUGAAGUUACCAUCAGUUACACCUGCGCAAAUUGUUGUUGCAAGAAAAAUUAAGAAAUUUUUCACUGGGCGAUUGGAUGCUCCUAUCAUAAGCUACCCACCUUUCCCAGGAAAUGAGAGCAAUUACUUACGAGCACAGAUUGCCCGAAUUUCAGCAGGGACUCAUGUCAGUCCUCUAGGAUUCUACCAAUUUAAUGAAGAGGAAGGAGAGGAAGAGGAAGAGCCGGAAGGUGGGCGAGAUAGCUUUGAGGAAAACCCUGACUUUGAAGGCAUCCAAGUGACUGAUCUAGUGGAAUCUCUAUCCAAUUGGGUUCACCAUGUACAGCAUAUUCUCCCUCAGGGUCGCUGUAAUUGGUUCAACCCUGUACAAAAGAAUGAGGAGGAAGAGGAGGAAGAUGAAGGAAAAGAAGAAGAAAAAGGAGAAGAGUCUGAUUAUAUAGAACAAGAGGUGGGACCUCUGCUUUUGACACCAAUCUCUGAAGAUACAGAGAUUCAAACUAUACCUCCUUGGACUACACGGCUGUCCUCAAAUCUCAUCCCCCAAUAUGCUAUUGCAGUCCUUCGAUCCAACCUUUGGCCUGGAGCAUAUGCUUUUUCCAAUGGAAAGUAAGUAUUUGAUCACUUAUAAAGCAAUUAUAUUGACUAUUCAAGCUCCGGAAAUUCUAAGCUAUCACCAGACUUUUAAGCUAUUAUUAUAAUUGACCUUUGGCAUAUUAGAUAUGUGUGGCUUAAGAUUUCUUAAAACAUCUAUUAUACAGUAAAGCAACAAAUUCAGGACAUGAGAGUGAUUCAGACUUGACCUGUUUUAUCUUCAUUAUCCAAUUAACUGGGAUAAAUAUGGCUUUUCAUCUAUAAUUAUUUGUGCAAUUGGUUUAUUUACUUACUUGGUAGAUUAAUGGAAGCAAUUCUAAGAAGUGUUUAAAUCUUAGAUCACUUUUGUUGGACAUCUUGAUAAAAUAAUUUACAAUAUGGCCUCUUUGAGCUAUCACUUUGAAGGGAAUGAAGAUCAAGAGCAUACUACAUCCUUAUAUUCCUCCCCUGGAACAUGUAUUUUCUUUGUCUUCUGCUCCCAUUUCUUUCCUAAUAACCCAGUGUCAGAAGCUCAACUGAGCUGGAGACAGCUGGCCUGCUGGGUGUCAGAGUAGCCAUUAAAGCAACUACAAGCCAAAAAUGCAUUAUCCUCCAAUCAUUUCCUAUGAUUGUUUAUGCAAGAAAAAGCACCAACUUUGCCCCAUUCCAUUCUCCCCCAUGGAAUGGGCCACCAGAGGGUCAGUUCAACCAGCACAGGCGUAGGUGUCACUGAUGUGAGGCUCAUGGAGUUUUAAGGACCUGGAGGCAGGGAAGGGUAGAAGGACUCGAAGUUGAAAGUACUUGAGUCUGUGGGGAAGAGAUGCCUGAAGGCCUCUGCUGAAGCAUCAGGUGAAGAGACGCAGAAAUGAAGCAUCUGGGCUAAGAAUGCAAAUAGACAAAGAGCCUGACCAGCCAAAGUCCUUGACAGAAACUCCUCUUAGAGAUCUUGGAGAUGGCAAUCCAUUGACUUCAUCAAGGGUGUGAGAAAGGCAGGGUUCCCUGGGGAGGCCUACCAGGCCAAACUUAUGGUAAGGCUGAAAACUAACACAAAGGUUUUUUUUUUUUUUAAUUUUUAAGAUUUAUUUAUUUAUUUACGAUACAGAGUUAGAAAGAGAGGAAGAGACAGAGAGAGCUCUUCCAUCUGUUGGCUCAUUCCCCAAAUGGCCACAACAGCUGGAGUUGGGCUGAUCCAAAGCCAGAAACCAGGAGCUUCUUCUGAGUCUCUGAUGUGGGUAUAGGGGCCCAGGCACAUGGGCCAUCUUCUACCGCAUUCCCGGGCCAUGGCAGAGAGCUGGAUUGGAAGUAGAGCAGCCAGGACUGAAACUGGCACCCAUACGGGAUGCCAGCAUUGCAGGCAGAGGCUUAGCCUACUACUCCUUGGCGCUACAGCCUAACACAUAGGUUUUUAACCACAAGCCCAACUCCUCACCCAGGAAAUGAUUGCUGCACUAGUAACUCUUAAAUCUUUCUAACUGUGGAAAGUAGCAACUUUUUUCCUCCUUAAAAAUGGUUAAAUGGUCAAAGCCUUAACUUGGGUUCUAGGUGUAGGGUACAUUUUGAAGGGGUUUGAUCUUUCUUUUCUUUUCUCAGUGUAAGCAGGUUGAAUCAAAAAUAUUUCCAUGGUAGAAGAAUCCCAGAGGGAGAGGCAGGUUGUUAGCCUAACAGUUAAUACACUGAGAAUCCCAUGUACCACAUUAAGUACCUCAGUUCCGAUUCUUGGCUCUGGAUCCAGCUUCCAGCUAAUACAGUUCCUGGGAGGCAGGGGAGAUGGCCACCCACUGAGACACUUGGCUUUCACUCUGGAUUGCAGGGAUCUCGGGAGUGAACUAACGGAUGGGAGCUCGUUCUCUGGAUCUAUUUCUCUGCUUUCAAAUAAACACCUAAAUAAUUGAGGAAUACUUCAAAUCCACAUUUUAAAUGUAUUUUUUUUUAAAUUAUGGUGUUAUAAUAUCAUAAGCAUGGGAGGAGGCAAGAUGGCGGAAUAGGAAGGGAGCACACUGAUAGUCCGGGGAGAGACAGUUUAAUAAAAGUGGAGAUACUGCAGGUUCAAGGAAGAGUAGGGCAGGAAACAGCAGAAGAAACUCUUCCGGAACGCGUGAUUCACAGUGGACCUGCGUGGAGAGGAUGGGAGCCCACAGUUCGGGACACCAGCGGCAGACUCAACACACCAGCGCUGGAACGCGAGGAAGUUUGAAAAUUUCUACAUAGGCUGGGGCCAUAAGUAUAGUGUAGACAAUUAUACACCCCCAGUUCCACCGCCAGUUCAUCUAGAGUACUCCAGUGGCCCAGAAGUUACAGAAAUGGAUGAUCCCAGCGUGGAACAGGAGCAG